CUGAACCUGGCAGAUUCCCCUGCAUUGAUUUAAGACCUUGCCACUCUUGUCCCCUCCAUCCUCUUCGGGCCUGUCGACUUUAUUCAAGGUUUUGACUUUCAGAUUGGGUUGCAGAUUCAGCUAGAUUUGUAUCCAACAUAAAAUUGCCCUUUAUUACUUAAAAUCCAAACGGUUUACAUCCUUAAGACCCAAGUUUUCUUCUACCAUAAACUCAUUCUCUAUAACCUUUUCAAUUUUUUUUAUAAGAACAGGGCUAUAAAUUUAGUCGAAAUCCGGAUAUUAUAGGUUUGACAUAUAAGAACAGUUUUUCUGUAGGCAAAAUAAAAUUAUGAAUUGUUUUUUUUUAAAAAAAAAAUCGGCAAUGCCAGUUCUAUAAUCAUCCCAUUGUGCCAUUUGAUCAAAUUAAUACAUAUUCCUCCCCUUCUCAUCGAAAUGCUUCACUUCGCGGCCCCGUCCACCUCAAGAGGGAGAGAGAGAGAGCGAUGGCGCGGUGGCUGGAGCUGCUGCUGAUCCAAUUCUUGAUGCCGGACAACGCCGCCGGCGGCAGGCGGAGGAGCAGAUAAAGCGGCUGGUGAAGAACCCGCAGGUAGUGCCGGCGGUCGUCCACCACCUCGGCACCGCCAAGACCUCCAACGUCCGCCAGCUCUCCGCCGUCCUCCUCCGCAAGAAGAUCACCCUCGACCCCAGCAAAGUUCACAAGAAGUCCGUAGAGAAGUGGGUGCACCUGAAGAUUUUUCACUGUGCCAAUAAAGGUUGUUGUAUAUUGUGACAUUUUUAAAUUAUAGUGUUCCUAGUUGCACUGUGGACACUUGCUGCUUCUGUCUUUCUCUCUACAGAUCUAUGUCUCACCUCGAGCAAUAGUUGGGUUGGGCUUAGGUCUAAAAUUGGGGGAAGGCAUGUAAUUCAUCACCGCAUAAUUCAUAUUUUUUUUUUGAAAUUCCUUU